rnacentral:rRNA from 1 species
UACGUAGGGUGCAAGCGUUAAUCGGAAUUACUGGGGCGUAAAGCGUGCGCAGGCGGUUGUGCAAGACAGAUGUGAAAUCCCCGGGCUUAACCUGGGAACUGCAUUUGUGACUGCACGGCUAGAGUGUGUCAGAGGGGGGUAGAAUUCCACGUGUAGCAGUGAAAUGCGUAGAUAUGUGGAGGAAUACCGAUGGCGAAGGCAGCCCCCUGGGAUAACACUGACGCUCAUGCACGAAAGCGUGGGGAGCAAACAGG